rnacentral:rRNA from 1 species
UACGUAGGGUGCGAGCGUUAAUCGGAAUUACUGGGCGUAAAGCGUGCGCAGGCGGUUUUGUAAGCCAGAUGUGAAAUCCCCGGGCUUAACCUGGGAAUGGCAUUUGGGACUGCAAGGCUUGAGUGCGGCAGAGGAGACUGGAAUUCCUGGUGUAGCAGUGAAAUGCGCAGAUAUCGGGAGGAACACCAGUAGCGAAGGCGGUUCUCUGGGCCGGUACUGACGCUGAGGAGCGGAAGCGUGGGGAGCAAACAGG